UGGGGAAUAUUGCGCAAUGGGGGGAACCCUGACGCAGCCAUGCCGCGUGAAUGAAGAAGGCCUUCGGGUUGUAAAGUUCUUUCGGUAUUGAGGAAGGUUGAUGUGUUAAUAGCACAUCAAAUUGACGUUAAAUACAGAAGAAGCACCGGCUAACUCCGUGCCAGCAGCCGCGGUAAUACGGAGGGUGCGAGCGUUAAUCGGAAUAACUGGGCGUAAAGGGCACGCAGGCGGUUAUUUAAGUGAGGUGUGAAAGCCCUGGGCUUAACCUAGGAAUUGCAUUUCAGACUGGGUAACUAGGGUACUUUAGGGAGGGGUAGAAUUCCACGUGUAGCGGUGAAAUGCGUAGAGAUGUGGAGGAAUACCGAAGGCGAAGGCAGCCCCUUGGGAAUGUACUGACGCUCAUGUGCGAAAGCGUGGGGAGCAAACAGGAUUAGAUACCCUGGUAGUCCACGCUGUAAACGCUGUCGAUUUGGGGAUUGGGCUUAGAGCUUGGUGCCCGUAGCUAACGUGAUAAAUCGACCGCCUGGGGAGUACGGCCGCAAGGUUA
rnacentral:rRNA from 1 species